CCCGUAACGAGCGCAACCCUUGUCCUUAGUUACCAGCACGGUUAUGGUGGGCACUCUAAGGAGACUGCCGGUGACAAACCGGAGGAAGUGGGAUGACGUCAAGUCAUCAUGGCCCUUACGGCCUGGGCUACACACGUGCUACAAUGGUCGGUACAAAGGGUUGCCAAGCCGCGAGGUGGAGCUAAUCCCAUAAACCGAUCGUAGUCCGGAUCGCAGUCUGCAACUCGACUGCGUGAAGUCGGAAUCGCUAGUAAUCGUGAAUCAGAAUGUCACGGUGAAUACGUUCCCGGGCCUU
rnacentral:rRNA from 1 species